UAACAUACAAAUUCUAACUAUGUGUGAUUCCUGAAGUGCUCCAAGUGAACUUUAGGGUGAAAAUGAAGUUACCCAAAAGUAAGGGGCUAAAAUGUUCUGCAGAUUUAUCAUUUCUUCCUCUUCCUCCUCUCAUUCCAACGGCUAUCACCAGUAAAAUGCAGUACCGGCAAGAGAUCGAUCGCCGCCACAGCGUGGUGGUGGAGCUACCACUCGGCGACGGCGCUACAUGCGACUUGGAAAAAGCAGUAUGUAGUCACGGCCUAUUCAUGAUGGCCCCAAACCAUUGGGACUCUCUCUCCAAAACCCUAGAACGUCCAUUGCGCCUCUCCGAAAACAUUAACGACGAUGAUCACGAAAAAUCUCAUCUCGUCCGAAUAUCUCAACCACCCGAUUCUCCUCAUUCUCUCCAUCUCCGUGUUUUCGGCACCGAUUCUCUUUCUCUAUUGACGACGAUGAUCACGAAAAAUCUCACCUCGUCCGAAUAUCUCAACCUUCCGAUUCUCCCGAUUCUCUCUAUCUUCGUGUUUUCGGCACCGAUUCUCUUUCUCCUUUACACCAACGC
rnacentral:lncRNA from 1 species